rfam:Candidatus Magnetoglobus multicellularis str. Araruama Cont3431, whole genome shotgun sequence.
UUGAGCCGUAUGUGGGGAAACUCACAUGUACGGUUCUUAGGGGAGCGUGUAGACUGGUAACAGUUUUGUGGGCUGGUAACAGCCCCCGCUUACCCGAC